UACGUAGGGCGCAAGCGUUAUCCGGAAUUAUUGGCGCAAGAAGACGUAGGCGGUUUGUCGCGUCUGCCGUGAAAGUCCGGGGCUCAACUCCGGAUCUGCGGUGGGUACGGGCAGACUAGAGUGAUGUAGGGGAGACUGGAAUUCCUGGUGUAGCGGUGAAAUGCGCAGAUAUCAGGAGGAACACCGAUGGCGAAGGCAGGUCUCUGGGCAUUAACUGACGCUGAGGAGCGAAAGCAUGGGGAGCGAACAGG
rnacentral:rRNA from 1 species